UACGAAGGGGGCUAGCGUUGUUCGGAAUUACUGGGCGUAAAGCGCGCGCAGGCGGUUUUCCAAGUCAGUGGGGAAAGCCCGGAGCUCAACUCCGGAACUGCCAUUGAAACUGUUAAACUUGAGGACGAGAGAGGUGAGUGGAAUUCCCAGUGUAGAGGUGAAAUUCGUAGAUAUUGGGAAGAACACCAGUGGCGAAGGCGGCUCACUGGCUCGUAUCUGACGCUCAGGCGCGAUAGCGUGGGGAUCAAACAGG
rnacentral:rRNA from 1 species